rnacentral:rRNA from 1 species
UACGAAGGGGGCUAGCGUUGCUCGGAAUUACUGGGCGUAAAGCGCACGUAGGCGGCUUUCUAAGUCGGGGGUGAAAUCCUGGAGCUCAACUCCAGAACUGCCUUCGAUACUGGAGAGCUUGAGUCCGGGAGAGGUGAGUGGAACUGCGAGUGUAGAGGUGAAAUUCGUAGAUAUUCGCAAGAACACCAGUGGCGAAGGCGGCAUCCUGGACCAAUUCUGACGCUGAGGAGCGAAAGCCAGGGGAGCAAACGGG